rnacentral:rRNA from 1 species
AUGCAGGAGGAUGUGCUACGGGCAUGCGAUGAGAGGCCCGACCCGGUGACCAUGCAAGGCUACCGGUACGUGGUCUCCGGCGAGCGCAAGCAGAAAUUCCUCGUGAAGCGACCCGAGUACGUGUUAACUUACGACAGGCAGUGCGUGAAGAUGACCACCGUGGAGCAGAUCUGGUCGUGCACGGGCAGCCUCCUGAGUUCUGACGGCGGCGGGUUGCUCAAGGACAUGUGCCUCUCCAUGGCCUUGUCCAAGAUGCUCAACCGAAGGUUCGCUGGCUUCGAGCUAGUCGAGGCGGAGCUCGAGAAGACCCACGAUUUUGUGUUCAGCGGGCUGCUCGCCGGCGACAAGCAGAAGCAGUGCGAGCGGGUGUUCAGGGUCGUGGAAGAAGAGCUUGCUUUCGUCCAUGACUUGUACUACACAAGGUACCCUUAUCUCUACCACAAGGGUCGCUACUUCGCCUUCUACUUGCCCUUCGCCAUGAUUGGCCUCUGCCUCUGGGUCAUUCACCUGCUCUUCGAGCGUUUUCAGAAGAACAAGUUUCGGUUGUGGACCACUACCACAAUGGUUUUAAUGGUGGUGGUGGCAUUCUUGGAGCUAUUCCAGCUGUACCUGUACGCGGCAUCAGGGUGGUGCAAGGUGGCGUUGAUAAGGAGCUACGCCGCCAUGCCUGCGUCUGCGUUGCAAAGGAACGGCUUCUGUCAGAUGCUCAUUGGUCUUCUAUUGAGGUUGAAGGCGCUUCGCCCGUGGGAGGACAAGCUCGGCCAGUACUCUCUCAUCGACGCGUUCGACCGAACGCGUCGUGCUAGCAAGUGCCUGCACUGCAUGACAUGCUGCCUAGUCGACAAGCCUAAGAAGGGUCGCCACAGAGCCAAGCCUGUCAAGGUGUCGAGGCAGCUGAAGCAAGCAGUCGUCGAUUCUCUCAUCGAUAGCGAGGGCCGCCUCACCAAUGGGGUCAGAUCCCUGAGAAACAAUGGCGUCGAGCAACUAUUGGAGAGGGCUAGCAACAGAACGACGACGACCCACACCGUUCUGGUGUGGCACAUUGCUACAACCCUCUGCAAGCACAGCCUCGAUGAGCAAGCAAAAGACGGGCGGCUGCCCGGAAAUGAUGGAAGCACGAUUGACACGGACUCCUCGGUGGCCUCCAGCUUGUCGCUCUACUGCGCGUACCUCAUCGCCUUCGAGCUGGAUCUCUUGCCCGAUCACAGCUCCGUUUCGACAUUGAUACUCGGGGAAUCCAUCAGAGAAGCGCGCAAGCUGCUCAAAGGGGCCAAGACCAUGAAGCGCAAGUAUGAGAAGCUCAUGGACAUCAGUGACGGGUCCGCCGCCGGCGACGUGUCGAUCGUCGUGGAGGGCGCUCGACUUGCGAGAAGGCUGAACGAGGACAUCCCAGACCCGGCGCGACGCUGGAGGAUCCUCUCCGAGUUCUGGGCGGAGAUGAUGCUGUACCUAGCGCCCUCCGACAACGCCCGGGCGCAUCUGGAGGCUCUGGCGACAGGAGGUGAGUUCAUCACGCACCUCUGGGCGCUGCUCACCCACGCCGGCGUGCUGCAGCGAGAUCGUGGCGCUGGCGGGCCACAGGCUGCUGUCUAA